CUGACUGGCCUGAGGUCAUUCUCCUCUUCAGAUCCAUCCCAAAUUCAGAUGACUUAAACUCACCUAUCACCCAUCCUGUGCUUUGAGAAAGGUUUAUGUUAGCUACUGACCUCAGGGCAGCCAAGCCUUUCAUUGUCAUUGUUAUUCAAGGUAGGUUGAAUUCCAUUAAAAAAAAAAAUCCUUGAAAUUUGGUUCACUUAUUCAGAGCCACACAAUGCAAUCAAACUUUUUUUAUUUCAAUUUUUUUUCUUUUUUGGUGGAAGGGCCAAGAAUUGUUUCCUUGCUAAAGCAGACUCCUAUCAUAAUAACUUUAAUAGUAAUAGCAUUAGCCUUUAAAUCAGGUUGAUGUUAGGUUCUCAUCUAAGAAUGAAAUAAAUCCAACCAUAGCAGGUUGAAGGUCUCUCAUAUGUGGAACCUGUUCAGGAGGAGACGAUUCAACCACUUUUCUUAAAUUCUGAUGUACAUGCCUUUACGUUCUUUGCUUUAAGGGCCACAUAAAAAUAAUCCAAAACAAUUUACACAUGAGAAUAUUAGCAAUCUAAUACUUUCCUCCUGGCCCAGCACAUCUCCAAGUUUAAAAAUCUCUAAAUUAUCAACCCAUAGUUUCAUCACGGUAAUGCCUUUCUACUCCCAACAUAGAUUUUUAUGUAACUGAUUUAUAACUGCAACCCUAACCCUACAAUCAAAUUGUCAUUAAAAAACAGUAACAAAUAUGUACUAUAACAGUAGAUGGUUAAAAUCACUUAGGGAUUAUGAAUCAUUUCAUUUUUGUGUUUAUUUGUACUUAUCUUUUGUGUUUAUUUAUUAUGUCAGCUUCAAGCUGAUUCCCCUUUCCCGUGCUCCCCACACCUUGCGUUGUUCCUUUUCAGCAUCCUGUGUAUGUUAGCCCUAAGCCCAGCCAAUCCCCAUGCCCUCCACUUCAGGGACAGAGGGUGGCUCAUCCCUGUCGUGUCCCGCAGCUCCCUCCCCAGGGCCUGGUUGCUGGUUGGCAUCACAGUCAUACCCUUGAAUGAUGGGCACUGGUCCACACUACAUCCGUGGUCACGCAGUCACCCUCCCUCCACAGAGCCGGGCAAAAAGGGCUCCACCGUGCUUAGACAUUGAGGGAAGGGACGUUUUGAAUGGCGCUGUCUUGUGUGAUCCCACAGGGGAGAAGGAGAUUCCUCGAAUGGGAGUGGUCUGUCCUUGAGAGGAAUCCUGAAAGACAGGGGAACAGAGAGGGAGGAUCCACAUAAUGAGGAAGCAGCUGAGAGCAAAGGAGCCCCUGCCAGAGGAAUAUCCUUGGGGAUUAAAAACCUGGCUCUGCCCUUUCUGCCCAGCCCAUUCAUCCCAGCCCAGACAAUUCAAAUCUACCUUCUAUCAGGACCCAGAAAAGGAUGUAAAACCUCCAGGAAUAAAUAUCCCCUGGGUCUGGGGAAACUGUCAGGAGCAGUGACAUCACAGGAAAAACCACCAACCAGGGCCAAGGAGACCAGAGCCCAGCCCCUCGCCCAGAGGACCCCAGUCAGAGGCCCCAUCUCAGACCCGAGGCUAGCAUGGGCUGCAGGCUGUUCUGCUGUGCGGUUCUCUGUCUCCUGGGAGCAGUCCCCAUGGAAACUGGAGUUACGCAGACACCAAGACACCUGGUUAUGGGAAUGACAAAUAAGAAGUCUUUGAAAUGUGAACAACAUCUGGGGCACAAUGCUAUGUACUGGUACAAGCAGAAAGCUAAGAAGCCGCCGGAGCUCAUGUUUAUCUACAACUUUAAAGAACGGGCUGAAAACAACAGUGUGCCCAGUCGCUUCUCACCCGAAUGCCCAGACAGCUCUCUCUUAUACCUUCACCUACGCGCCCUGCAGCCAGAAGACUCAGCCCUGUAUCUCUGCGCCAGCAGCCAAGACACAGCCUUGCAGAGUCGCCGCUUUCCUGUGCAGAAACCUUCGGGGCCUGCCAGGAAGCUGUGGGGGCCACGGAGGGCUCGGGUGAGCAUUUCCUGCAAGAGCCCCGACAGAAGCUUCAGAACAUCAUGGCACCUGCUAAUUCAUCCAUGUGGCAACUUUACAUCCUGUGCUCAUAUUUAGAGUGUGGGUUUUCUUUAGCGUGUGACUCUGCCCUGUCAGCUGAUUUGAAAAUGAUAAACACAUUCAGAUCUAGUCUUUUUAAAAUCCCUUUUUAAAUUGUAAAAUAAAGCAAGCAUGCUCUAAGGGGAUUGUUUAGUUUAAGAUUUUACAAGACCCUCUAAACAACCACCUGCGUCACCACAGAGUCAUACCCUGCAAUGGGCCACACAGUGUCCUGUGAGGAGCCAAGCUCUUCUGACACUUUAUGUCUGGUGGUCUCCAAGCCUCUCUUUCUCAGGAACUAAGGGGUCCCUUCUGUCAUAAGUUGCUGACACCCAAGGUCAAGCAGCACUGGGUUUGGGGGAAUCAUAGAGGUAACUUCCAGGCAUGGGUCCCAGGGCAGGAGGCAGCUGGAGAGCACAGUAGACAACCCAGGUUUUGGGGAAUGGAUUUGAGAAAUAUGUCAAACCAGUUCUGUUAUUCUAUCUUCCAUCUUGUCUAUUCUCUAAUUUUCUUAUUUAAACUCAAAUCUACAGCAUAAAUUCCAGCCCUGAUCAAAGCUCCAUAUCCGCACAGACACCUUCUCUGAAUCCUGCAGGAAGCAAACUUGCCUCUGUCCACUCCCAUCCAUUCAGAUCCCGUGGACCAUGGUCUGGAAGCUUCCUCACUCAUCUACUCUCCUUCUCUUGACCUGAAGUGUCCUUGGUUUAAGAUCACAACUCCUCACUGGAUUUCCUCUCCACACUGACACUGGAAGACGAUGUUUUCUCCUUCUGGUAUCUUUAUUCCUAGCAUGUUAAAUCAUCAGGCUCAGAGUUCAGUGUCUCUGGAUUGUAGCUUUACAUUGGCCUUUAGGGAGGAGAGUGGGUCCUGACCGUUCUCUUCGUGUCUUAGCUUGCCUAGGUCUCCUGAAUUCUGUGUUUCUUGGGGGCUCCUCAACUGCACUAUUUCACACAGGGUCUGCAGGACUGCACCACAAGGAAACACAGAGGUCAAGCCUGGGGGCAUCCGUGCACUCCCAGAAUACACAGAGGCCAAGCCUGGGGGAAUCCGUGCACCCCCAGAAAACACAGAGGCCGAGCCUGGAGACAUCCAUGUCCAGUGUGCCACUAAGGCUCCCACUCCUCCAGUGCAGGAUCCUGAGUCUGUGGCUGCAGCCGACACUGUAACCUCACAAGAUCUCCCCAUUUGCACGGCUAAUGACCAGAGCUUCAGCUGGGAGUGGCCUCAGCCCUGCCCAAUUCUGCCAUGAAGAGACAGCAGGCUUCUAUGUAGGGUGAUCUUUGGUCUCUUUGGAGCACAUGAGUCCUGAGAGUGCUUGGGGAAUUCUUAUCCUGUUUACCUAAGGCCAGUUCCAAAGUUAUGUUUCAUUCCAUUUCAGGCCCCUGUUUACUCCACAGGAUACAUGGAACCUGGAGUCAGCUAAACCCCUAGCCACUAUGUCACAGAUGAGACAGAGCGUGGCUUGGAGGACCCACUUUCUGAUUCAUAGAUGGCUCCUUCUCACUCUAUCCUCACACGGUGGGAGGGCCAGCUAGUGCUCUGGUGUCUCUUUGCAAGGGCACUAACCCCUUAGGCCUUCAUGACCUCCUAAUCUCAUCACAUCAGGGCUUAGAAUUUCAACAUAUGAAUUUCAAGGGACACAAGCACUCAGAUGAUAGAAAUUAUCUUUCUUUUGGUAUUCUUGGUGUCCCGAUGGUAUCAGUUACUCUAAUAUGAUUUCUAAAAUGAAAGUGUAAAUAAGAUUGUCUCCAUGCAAGGAGGGAGUCAGACAAGGUAGGAUUUAAACCAUUUCCACCAUCCUGUUUUCUCAUUGCAGUCUUGGGCUCACCACUCAUAUUCUUUAUAUUCCUGUGCGAAAUAGCUUCAGUCUUCCCAAAAGAUAAUCAUCGCUAUUCGUUAGUUUCUGAUAUUGAUGUUUCUUUCUUGUCUCAUCGGGUUCAUCUGGAGAAGGAGCCAGGAGACGAUGCUAGUUUGCAACUUUA